UAUAUCGUCAUAGCCUCGCCAGUCGACAGACAGCCACUCACACACACAAGAAAGAAAGAAGAUAUAUUGGUAUAAGGGCUGUUGCCAACACAAGAUCCGUAAUGAGUAGUCACCGGCUCCGCUAACGAUCAAAGAGGACAGAGUCCCCUGAAACCAACCGCCGCUCGCUGAGAGCAAAGCCUCAUAGCUAAACCAUUCACACAGCAAUAUUAAGGUAAACAUACUUCAUGUAAAAGCAAUUGCGAAUUUUAUAUUUUAGAAAAAAAAUAACAUAAAGAAAAUCGAAAAUGAAGAUCUAGAGAUUGCAGAGGAUGGAGGCCCAAACAGAAACAGAAAAAAAUGGUAGAAAGAGAAGGCUCAGAUCAGGUAUGCCUUCAAAUCGGACAGGACAGAAACACCACAACCCCAAGGCUGCAAAAACCAAAGGUUGCCCCGCCAAGAAAUUGAGUAUUUCUCCUCGAGUACGACUUUUCAGGCUCACUGAAUAUAUCGUCAUAGCCUUGCCAGUCGACAGACAGCCACUCACACACACAAGAACGAAAGCAGAUAUAUUGGUAUAAGGGCUGUUGCCAACACAUGGUCCGUAAUGAGUAGUCACCGGCUCCGCUAUCGAUCAGAGAGGACAGAGUCAACCACCCUGAAACCAACCCCCCUCCUCACUGAGAGCAAAGCCUCUUACCUAAACCAUUCACACAGCAAUAUUAAGGUAAACAUAUUUCAUGUAAAAGCAAUUGCGAAUUUUAUAUUUUAGAAAACAAAUAUCAUAAAGAAAAUCGAAAAUGAAGAGCGAGAGAUUGCAGAGGAUGGAGGCCCAGACAGAAACAGAAAAAAAUAGGUAGAAAGAGAAGGCUCAGAUCAGAUAUGCCUUCAAAUCGGACAGGACAAAAACACCUCAACCCCAGGGCUGCAACAAAAAAAAGGUUGCCUCUCCAAAAAAUUGAGUAUUUCUCCCCCAGUCUGACUUUUCAGGCUCACUGAAUAAAUCGCCAUAGCCUCGNNNNNNNNNNNNACACACAAGAAAGAAAACAGAUAUAUUGGUAUAAGGGCUGUUGCCAACACAAGAUCCGUAAUGAGUAGUCACCGGCUCUGCUACCGAUCAGAGAGGACAGAGUAAACCACCCUGAAACCAACCCCCCCCCUCACUGAGAGCAAAGCCUCAUACCUAAACCAUUCACACAGCAAUAUUAAGGUAAACAUAUUUCAUAAAAAAGCAAUUGCGAAUUUUAUAUUUUAGAAAAAAAAAUAACAUAAAGAAAAUCGAAAAUGAAGAGCUAGAGAUUGAAGAGGAUGGAGGCCCAAACAGAAACAGAAAAAAACGGUAGAAAGAGAAGGCUCAGAUCAGGUAUGCCUUCAAAUCGGACAGGACAGAUACACCACAACCCCAGGGCUGCAAAAACCAAAGGUUGCCCCGCCAAGAAAUUGAGUAUUUCUCCUCCAGUCUGACUUUUUAGGCUCACUGAAUAUAUCGUCAUAGCCUCGCCAGUCACCAGACAGCCACUCACACACACAAUAAAUAAAGCAGAUAAAUUGGUAUGAGGACUGUUACCAACAUAAGAUCCAUAAGGAGUAGUCACCGGCUCCGCUAACGAUCAGAGAGGACACAGUCAACCUCCCUGAAACCAACCGCCACUCACUGAGAGCAAAGCCUCGUACCUAAACAAUUCACACAGCAAUCUUAAGGUAAACAUAUUUCAUGCAAAAGCAAUUGCGAAUUUUGUAUUUUAGAAAAAANNNNNNNNNNNNNNNNNNNNNNNNNNNNNNNNNNNNNNAGAGGAUGGAGGCCCAAACAGAAACAGAAAAAAACGGUAGAAAGAGAAGGCUCAGAUCAGAUAUGCCUUCAAAUCGAACAGGAGAGAAACACCUCAACCCCAGGGCUGCAACAAAAAAAAGGUUGCCUCGCCAAAAAAUUGAGUAUUUCUGAUCUGAGCAAAGCCUCUUACCUAAACCAUUCACACAGCAAUAUUAAGGUAAACAUAUUUCAUGUAAAAGCAAUUGCGAAUUUUAUAUUUUAGAAAACAAAUAUCAUAAAGAAAAUCAAAAAUGAAGAGCGAGAGAUUGCAGAGGAUGGAGGCCCAAACAGAAACAGAAAUAAUCUGUAGAAAGAGAAGGCUCAGAUCAGAUAUGCCUUCAAAUCGGACAGGACAGAAACACCUCAACCCCAGGGCUGCAACAAAAAAAAGGUUGCCUCGCCAAAAAAUUGAGUAUUUCUGAUCUGAGCAAAGCCUCUUACCUAAACCAUUCACACAGCAAUAUUAAGGUAAACAUAUUUCAUGUAAAAGCAAUUGCGAAUUUUAUAUUUUAGAAAACAAAUAUCAUAAAGAAAAUCAAAAAUGAAGAGCGAGAGAUUGCAGAUAAUGAGUAGUCACCGGCUCUGCUACCGAUCAGAGAGGACAGAGUCAACCACCCUGAAACCAACCCCCCCCUCACUGAGAGCAAAGCCUCAUACCUAAACCAUUCACACAGCAAUAUUAAGGUAAACAUACUUCAUGUAAAAGCAAUUGCGAAUUUUAUAUUUUAGAAAAAAAANN
rnacentral:lncRNA from 1 species